rnacentral:rRNA from 1 species
CGGGUUAGGGCACGCCACGGAAAUGGAGCAAGAGGCCAAGAGGCAGGGUAAGGCAGGUGGCGCAGGUCUGUGUUAGAAUGGCCGCUGCGGAGCGCUGGAGGAGUCGAGGAGAGGGGGAAGCGGCGGCGACGGUGGUGCCCCUGGGCGAGACUAGGGCAGUCAACAUCUUCAUUGACUAAUCGGACUACCGAUACCAGCUACUCGGAGAGAUAGGUUAACGGCACGACUAUCUACUCGAAUUUUUACUUCUAUAAGUUAACGCGGACUUGAGGUAGUCUUCUGAAAGGUGAUAACGUGCCCGUGAACCUCUUCUUUCUUGGUCCUUCCUUGACUAAGGAAAGGAGUCGCUUUUGUUACUACUACUUCUACUCCACGAAGAACGUUACCGACUUCUUAACCCACACAAGUAAGGAAUACAACCCCCACAUCUCGUACGAGUACAAAACGAGGGUGGGACACAGGCUCUGUUUCGUCAACUCAGCAACACGGCAUAACCACGUGUCUACUUUCUUUUACUGUAACAACUGAUAAAGUAACGUCAUCAUUUCUCCGAUCGCCGACCACUCACCAAAUGUCGAGCUCAUAGUAGGACACCAGAAAAGGUAUAUCGGAUAGGUUCACGGUGGCUAGGCAACUUUUGUCUUGACUCCUGAUAAAUACCGGUCAAUACGGUUCUACUGUACGGAUACCAGUCUUCCCGUCGACGUAGUUUAGAACCCUUCAAACGACGGUGACAACUUGUCUCGGUAAACUUCUGUCUUUAGUACAGCUAGAAACUACUAGAAUGGGUUCUACUAGUUCUAAGUCAUGCAAAUAACCGUCAACUUCCGACACGACGAGAACCUUUUAACAAUCUUGGGGUUCUAACACAUCGGGUAUAGGAAGGUCAGUAACAAUUAAAGAGGGUCCUAUUUAGAACCGCACAGGCAAUAUACCAACGUUUGGUCAACAUACUCGAGACGCUCCGUCAACCGGGACUCGGAUGUUCUCGCCUGGACCACGGACGUAUACAAGCGGAGGAGGCACUAUUACUCCGACUUCACGCCUAUCGUCGACGGCCUUUUCAAUGAUUCAAGACAUCCUAUAAUUCAGGUGUCGAACGUUAAGUCGUGUAAGACGGUACGCAGUUCCUUAACAGUAGUCUAAGCAGAGUCGUACAAGCGAGUCGAAACCGAAGUCAGUAGUACCCUUACCGGGGACAGAACCCCUUCCUACGAUGGUAACUUGUUGAAGAAGGAUAAAAAGAAAGAAACGACUUCCUACUUAAAGGACUACAAGCUGAGUUGUAUUAGUCGUUCGAACUAGUUCAAUUAGUCCAGUAACCUUAACUGAACGACAGCGUUAGAGAUAACGGCCGAUAACAUCUUGAACGCCUCCUAUCCGUGACCUCCCAAGCAGAACGUUAGUAACUCAUGUAGGGAGACGACCGAUCAGUCAAUCCACAACCCAAAAAACUACUGUUCGACCCCCGUGAAACGUACGUUACCAACCUUCUAUUCCAAAAGAGCUAGUCUCUUCGACGGCGUUUGUUGAACUUCGCGGACCGCCUCCUCAAACCAGGUCUCACCCGUUACGUUGUAUAUUAAGGAGUCCACAACCUCUUCUAUUUGUUGGGUGUAAUAGACAUAGCGUACUGGUAGGACGUUCGAUAGAGUAACGAUCGGGGACAAUACCCACGUCUUUAUUGUACGGUUUUCGACGAGGGACAGCAGUAAUUAAGGAGCUUCCUGUCUCACGGCUUGUAGUUCAAGUUACAACGCUUUCAAGACGUCAGCGAACAUGGUUAGGAACUAGUUAGACAGCGACUCUUCUGACACUUCGGAACGGAGCAACUCGACUCGCUCCUGGGACUACACCUACAUGCUAUGAUACGUUUGGUCCGGGAAGUCCGUACACUGGUCUAGUACUACAGAUCGAUUGAUUCGAUGACAGCAGUGCAAGAAAUCUUCGAUAAGAAUCAGGUCGAACCUCAUGUACAUUAAAUGGGAAUUCUCAGCCUCUCAAGCAAGAUCGGGUCAUUAAAUGGAUAUGAAGGUACGACUAUUACCUACCCGAGACAAGGGGAAAACAACAAUAAUUACAACAUAUUAACUCGUUGCUCUGUGCAACAAAGCUACCACACGAAUUUAACUAUCAAACUUGAACUAAAGCCAGUAAGGUACACAACCCACACUAAAAUGACUUACGUUGGUAACAGGCAACAAAGA